ACUGCUGAUGUGUGACGGCCACAGCAGGUGGAGGGACGGGGACGCAGCAGCUCACCUUACUUUGAGAUGAGGGGGUCCUCAAAGGUCUCUGCGUCACAAAUUCCUUGGAGAGAAUUGGAGAGCUCGCUUCCACAGCUAGUGGGUCCAUGACGAUGACUUCUGUUUUGUUUGAUCAACCGUUUUACUGCCGUGUUACAGACACAGUUUGGAAGCAAUUAAGGAUGCCAGAGUCCUCCCAGAUUAUUUGGUUCUAAGGCUGUUUACAAUGCUGAAAGGUGACAAGAACAUUUUAUUCUACAAAACAGGAGUAAGUACAAACAACCGCAACACCAGCGCUGAAGACAGAGUGUCAAGCUAUCAAGAGG